GCGAGUGUAGUUCAAUGGUAGAACGGCAGCCUUCCAAGCUGCAUACGUGAGUUCGAUUCUCAUCACUCGCUCCA
rnacentral:tRNA from 1 species